GAUGAACGCUAGCUACAGGCUUAACACAUGCAAGUCGAGGGGUAACAAGAGGAAAGCUUGCUUUUCUUGUUGACGACCGGCGCACGGGUGAGUAACGCGUAUCCAACCUGCCUAUAACUAGGGAAUAACCUUGCGAAAGUAAGACUAAUACCCUAUGAUUUCCUUUGAUGACAUCAGAUUAGGAAUAAAGAUUUAUCGGUUAUAGAUGGGGAUGCGUCUGAUUAGCUUGUUGGCGGGGUAACGGCCCACCAAGGCAAGGAUCAGUAGGGGUUCUGGGAGGAAGGUCCCCCACAUUGGAACUGAGACACGGUCCAAACUCCUACGGGAGGCAGCGGUGAGGAAUAUUGGUCAAUGGGCGGAAGCCUGAACCAGCCAAGUAGCGUGCAGGAUGACGGCCCUAUGGGUUGUAAACUGCUUUUAUACAGGAAUAAAGUUAGCCACGUGUGGUUAUUUGUAGGUACUGUAUGAAUAAGGACCGGCUAAUUCCGUGCCAGCAGCCGCAGUAA
rnacentral:rRNA from 1 species